rnacentral:rRNA from 1 species
UACGUAGGGUGCGAGCGUUUAAUCGGAAUUACUGGGCGUAAAGCGUGCGCAGGCGGUGAUGUAAGACAGGUGUGAAAUCCCCGGGCUUAACCUGGGAACUGCAUUUGUGACUGCAUCGCUGGAGUGCGGCAGAGGGGGAUGGAAUUCCGCGUGUAGCAGUGAAAUGCGUAGAUAUGCGGAGGAACACCGAUGGCGAAGGCAAUCCCCUGGGCCUGCACUGACUCA